UACGUAGGUGGCAAGCGUUGUCCGGAUUUAUUGGGUUUAAAGGGUGCGUAGGCGGUCUUGUAAGUCAGUUCUGAAAUAUCCCGGCUUAACCGGGAGGGUGGGAUUGAUACUGCAGGACUUGAGUGGAGUCGAGGUAGGCGGAAUUGACGGUGUAGCGGUGAAAUGCUUAGAUAUCGUCAAGAACACCGAUAGUGUAGACAGCUUACUAGUCUCAAACUGACGCUGAGGCACGAAAGUGUGGGGAUCAAACAGGAUUAGAAACCCCCGUAGUCC
rnacentral:rRNA from 1 species